UGGGGAAUCUUCCGCAAUGGACGAAAGUCUGACGGAGCAACGCCGCGUGAGUGAAGAAGGUUUUUCGGAUCGNAAAAACUCUGUCUUUUGGGGCGAACGUGAGUAUGUGAACAAUCAUAGUCAGUGACGGUACCAAAGGAGGAAGCCACGGCUAACUACGUGCCAGCAGCCGCGGUAAAUCGUAGGUGGCAAGCGUUGUCCGGAAUUAUUGGGCGUAAAGAGCGCGUAGGCGGGAUAGUCAGUCUGUUGUAAAAGUGCGGGGCUCAACCCCGUGAUCGCAAUGGAACAGCUAUUCUUGAGUGCAGGAGAGGAAAGUGGAAUUCCCAGUGUAGCGGUGAAAUGCGUAGAUAUUGGGAGGAACACCAGUGGCGAAGGCGACUUUCUGGACUGUGUCUGACGCUGAGGCGCGAAAGCCAGGGGGAGCG
rnacentral:rRNA from 1 species